AAUAAAUGAAUUUCUGAGUUUUUUGAAUAGAAUUUUUGACUCUUCGUCUUAUUUAAAAUUUUUUAUGAUUAAUAUUUUUAUUAUUAUUACAUGAUAAAAUAUGAAUAGUAUUUUACAUGUGAUAUUUUUUUUAAAUUUUUUUAAUAAAAUUUUCAAAUAAGACCGUUGGUCAAAUACUCAAACCAGAGAACCCAGG
rfam:Oryza brachyantha chromosome 1, whole genome shotgun sequence.